ensembl:lncRNA
AUGCAUUUGCUUUUCCUGACAAUUCUGUGUAAAGAUAUUCCAACAGCGUUCAGUCUAGUUCUAACUGUGUUAUCAGAUACUUGUUUGUUUUCCUCCCUUGAUAUUCAUUUUUUUUAAUUUUAUUUCAAUACAAGCAAUAGAUAACAGAAAAAAAACGUUGCUCUCUUGUCAGUCUGUUGAUGUGUUCAUUAUUUGGCCAAGUCUAUAUUUCAACCACGAUGCGGAGGAGGGAGUGUGGACGGCGAAACGAAGCAGGGAAAUGCAUGGAAAUAAAAUGAAAACGAACAGCACUUGGUGAUGCUUCUGAGGGAAUAGACUCUGUUCAUUCGGAGAAUCUGUAAUUAUUCAUUCACUUCCUGUUCAGUAGCCUGUUUUGCAUCACUGUGUGUUCAUACAUUUGCUGUGAUGGACAAUUUGUGGACUGCAAUGCUGAAGACGAAAAGGACUUCCAUCCAUGUAGAUGAAAAAAAAAAAAAAGCAUACUACUUUAAACAAGAUCUUGUAUAAAGAGAGAGAAAAAAAUCCCAAAAAUAGUAAAUGGUGAUACAGGAGUUCUUUGUGUGUGGUUUAUUUUUGUAAUUAUCAUUUUUGUUUUGUUUUGUUUUUUAUAAGAAAAGGUCUCUCCUUGUGUAUUUGUGCUUCAGGGCGCAGUUUUAAACCUCUCCUCCCCUCUAGUCUCCAUGCUUGUGAAUUUGAAUGCGGGCCACAGUGUUUCCCGUUCAUGAAUGAUUUCACCUUUAUUUUGGGAAAUGUAGUGUAAAAUGUAUGUAUUUGUUCUGAUCAGUGACCCACUUUUGAGGCUUUCUCCACCUUUUUUUUUUUUUUUUUCUCACCCAGCUUUUUAUUUUUUGGCAUUUAUAGAAGGCUACUAUAGAAAAAGAUGCUUUUAUUUUUAUUUCCCCCUUGUCAUUAGUCUCUAGUUCCUGUAAAUGUACUUUUCUGAAUCUCACGUUACUCUUAUAUGCUUGGUUUUGUGAGUUGGUAGAUACGAAUUGGGAUUCUUCUCAAGCUGUGCAGCAAAAGUUUGAACCAUUUUCAUUCUCUGCUUCAGACUGUUUGGACUUGUUUAGGGAUGCAGGCCUGUGUAAACGCUAAAUUGCUGGAAAUUAAGGAGAGGUUUUGAUGAGUAUGUCUGUCUUUGAAUGGAAGUUAGAAACAGUGUGUUCCUGUUUCUAGCGGUUGGAAAACGUUGCAGAUGGAUUGUUGGCUUAGCCAGAGUUUGAACUCUGUUGUAAAUUAGUUCUUUCACGUAGCAAGACGUAAAACGAAAAACUCUUUGCCUUUUUUAUAUAAUUAUCUGUAACAAAAUGUUUUUACAUGUUGUCAUCUAUUGAUUGCUUUUGUGUCUUGACAUAUAAAAGUAAUGGAAUUCUGUCUCUGUUCAAUUGUCUUGUUUUGCCUGCUGUUUACUUAAGCGUUUUUGUCAUUUGUGUUGCUGAUGGUCUUGUCUUCUGAGAAAUGUUAUGUUCAAGAAAUAUAGAUGACCAGCAAGAUAUUAAAGAUUAUUUGUAUCAGGAAAAAGAUGAGACAUGGCUUUGGGAUUUUAACAUUAAUAUUUUCUUUAAAUCCUACAAAUAAGUCAAAAAUUUACCAUAUUUGCCCUCAAAUGUAGGUAAAACCUGACAAGUUUAACAUCUUUUAACACACUGGGUUGCUUAAGUCUAUUUGCCUCGUAAGUAUACAACAUGGAUUUAGAAAAGGGUUAACUGUGUGUGGGUGUACAUACACAUAUAUAUAUAUAUAUAUAUAUAUAUGCAAUCGAUUAUGAUUGGUCCGUUCAAAACAGCACUGAGAAAAGUAACAGUUGCCACCUGACAGAUCUUUGUUUAUACCAGAGCUGUUAAAAAAACUAAAAUUAUACUGAUAAUAAUUAAAAUAUUAGGUAAAAUUGUCUUUCCAUUUUUGUUAG